rnacentral:rRNA from 1 species
UACGAAGGGGGCUAGCGUUGCUCGGAAUCACUGGGCGUAAAGGGUGCGUAGGCGGGUCUUUAAGUCAGGGGUGAAAUCCUGGAGCUCAACUCCAGAACUGCCUUUGAUACUGAAGAUCUUGAGUUCGGGAGAGGUGAGUGGAACUGCGAGUGUAGAGGUGAAAUUCGUAGAUAUUCGCAAGAACACCAGUGGCGAAGGCGGCAUCCUGGACCGGUAUUGACGCUGAGGCGCGAAAGCUAGGGGAGCAAACGGG